CAGCCACAACAACUCCUCAACCACCCUGUUAAUCUUUCGGUAAGUAGUCUUCGAAAAAGUAAAAUAUACAUGACAGACACAGAAAUGAGCAAAAACCUAAAGAUGUUUAGAUUAGCAAUGUAUAAGAAGCACAUAAGAAUUAAACAACAUCAAAUAAGACUCCCCAAUGGAUCAGAGGUAUCACAAGACCAAGUGUUCAAUUUCUAAAAUCACUGAAUAGGCAUCAAAAGACCAAGGCUUCAAUUUCUAAAAUCACUAAAUACCGAAUUCGUAGAAAAGCAGAGAUAUAGAAUGAGAGU
rnacentral:lncRNA from 1 species